rnacentral:misc_RNA from 1 species
UUUCCGUAGGUGAACCUGCGGAAGGAUCAUUACCGAGUAAAGGGUCUCUAAGGCCCGCACUCCCACCCUUUGUGUACCUACCUUUGUUGCUUUGGCGGGCCGCGCCGCGGCCUCCGUGUAGCCGCCGGCUUCGGCUGGUGAGCGCCCGCCAGAGGACCUUCAAAACUCUGUUUAUCGGUGUCGUCUGAGUUAAACAUCAAUAAAUUAAAACUUUCAACAACGGAUCUCUUGGUUCUG